rnacentral:misc_RNA from 1 species
UGUGGGAGCGGGCUUGCUCGCGAAUGCGGUGUGUCAGUCAAUACAUCUGGUGACUGAUCCACCGAAUUCGCGAGCAAGCCCGCUCCCACA